GGUUGGGAGGUUCAGGUAGGGAGCUGGAUUGGCCCGAUGCACUAACCGAGGUGCAAGCCUGAUUCUUGGCUCACUAGCCCGGUGAGUAAAAUUUCUUUUCAAAGAAUUUUGGCAUUUUCCAACGAUCAAUAAACAACUAUUUUUACAAAAUGGCCGCUGAACAGACUUUUGUAAAAUAAUUAUUUUAUUUGUUUGAAACUAAAGAAAC
rnacentral:lncRNA from 1 species